rnacentral:lncRNA from 1 species
UACCUUCCCUUCGCAUAACCGACUCCCGAACCCAAGAUUUGGUUGCGAGACCCCGUCUUGUCCUUUCCUUUUUCAGGUUUACUUCGAGCGUUUUCUUUCCCUCCUUUGGGAUGAAUAACGCACGGUGGCGACUCUUCUGUCAUUUUCUUUCGCCAGUUAUUUUUUCGCGCACUGUAUUUUUCAGGUUGCGACAAGGAGGUCGAGCGAGAUCUCUCUGGGCGCCCUUU